GCUGGUGUGGCUCAGAGGUAGAGCAGCGCACUCGUAAUGCGCAGGCCGUGGGUUCGAUUCCCACCACCAGCUCCA
rnacentral:tRNA from 1 species